rnacentral:rRNA from 1 species
AACCGCAUGGUUAGAUUAUCAAAGGAGUAAUCCGCUAUGAGAUGGACCCGCGGCGCAUUAGCUAGUUGGUGAGGUAACGGCUCACCAAGGCCACGAUGCGUAGCCGACCUGAGAGGGUGAUCGGCCACAUUGGAACUGAGACACGGUCCAGACUCCUACGGGAGGCAGCAGUGGGGAAUAUUGCACAAUGGGCGAAAGCCUGAUGCAGCAACGCCGCGUGAGUGAUGAAGGCCUUCGGGUUGUAAAACUCUGUCUUUGGGGACGAUAAUGACGGUACCCAAGGAGGAAGCCACGGCUAACUACGUGCCAGCAGCCGCGGUAAUACGUAGGUGGCAAGCGUUGUCCGGAUUUACUGGGCGUAAAGGAUGCGUARGUGGAUAUUUAAGUCAGAUGUGAAAUACCCGAGCUCAACUUGGGUGCUGCAUUUGAAACUGGAUAUCUAAAGUGCAGGAGAAGUAAGUGGAAUUUCUAGUGUAGCGGUGAAAUGCGUAGAGAAUAGG